rnacentral:rRNA from 1 species
GACGAACGCUGGCGGCGUGCCUAAUACAUGCAAGUUGAGCGAUGAAGAUUGGUGCUUGCACCAAUUUGAAGAGCAGCGAACGGGUGAGUAACGCGUGGGGAAUCUGCCUUUGAGCGGGGGACAACAUUUGGAAACGAAUGCUAAUACCGCAUAAUAACUUUAAACAUAAGUUUUAAGUUUGAAAGAUGCAAUUGCAUCACUCAAAGAUGAUCCCGCGUUGUAUUAGCUAGUUGGUGAGGUAAAGGCUCACCAAGGCGAUGAUACAUAGCCGACCUGAGAGGGUGAUCGGCCACAUUGGGACUGAGACACGGCCCAAACUCCUACGGGAGGCAGCAGUAGGGAAUCUUCGGCAAUGGACGAAGGUCUGACCGAGCAACGCCGCGUGAGUGAAGAAGGUUUUCGGAUCGUAAAACUCUGUUGGUAGAGAAGAACGUUGGUGAGAGUGGAAAGCUCAUCAAGUGACGGUAACUACCCAGAAAGGGACGGCUAACUACGUG